rnacentral:rRNA from 1 species
CCUACGGGUGGCAGCAGUGAGGAAUAUUGGUCAAUGGGCGCGAGCCUGAACCCGCCAAGUAGCGUGAAGGAUGACUGCCCUACGGGUUGUAAACUUCUUGUAUAAAGUAAUAAAGUGAAGCACUUUGGCCUUUUUUUAUGUACUGUAUGAAUAAGGAUCGGCUCACUCCGUGCCAUCAGCCGCGGUAAUACGGAGGAUCCGAGCGUUAUCCGGAUCUAGUGGGUUUAAAGGGAGCGGAGAUGGGUUGUUAAGUCAGUUUUGAAAGUUUGCGGCUCAACCGUAAAAUUGCAAUUGAUACUGGCAGUCUUGAGUACAGUUGAGGGAGGCGGAAUUCGUGGUGUAGCGGUGAAAUGCUUAGAUAUCACGAAGAACUCCGAUUGCGAAGGCAGCUUACUAAACUGCCACUGACAUUGAUGCUCGAAAGUGUGGGUAUCAAACAGGAUUAGAUACCCUGGUAGUC